rnacentral:lncRNA from 1 species
GUUCCACAACUCAGAAAUCUAUCAAAUUAGGGGUUGUGAUCCCAAAUAUGCUGACUGGUGGCCAAGAUGCGGGUGCACACAUGGAAUCUAAUCCAACCCAUAAGGAGAUUUUGUCCUCUAAGCUAAAUGCGCCUCCAAGAUCAGGAGUCCCAUGCACUCCUUGAUCUAUGAGAGUGACGACCAAACUAGCAAGAGAGAA